AUCACCAACAAUCUAGAAAUGUAAGGGAUCAACGGCAGAUUCAGAAUCAGCAGUACCAGAUUGCCGAAGUACAUCGAGAUGAUCACUGACCAGAAUACAUCCGGAUUAUCGACAAACAGACGCGGGCC
rnacentral:ncRNA from 1 species